CCUACGGGUGGCUGCAGUGAGGAAUAUUGGUCAAUGGACGAGAGUCUGAACCAGCCAAGUAGCGUGAAGGAUGACUGCCCUAUGGGUUGUAAACUUCUUUUAUAAAGGAAUAAAACGAGGCACGUGUGCCUUUUUGUAUGUACUUUAUGAAUAAGGAUCGGCUAACUCCGUGCCAGCAGCCGCGGUAAUACGGAGGAUCCGAGCGUUAUCCGGAUUUAUUGGGUUUAAAGGGAGCGUAGAUGGGUUGUUAAGUCAGUUGUGAAAGUUUGCGGCUCAACCGUAAAAUUGCAAUUGAUACUGGCAGUCUUGAGUACAGUUGAGGUAGGCGGAAUUCGUGGUGUAGCGGUGAAAUGCUUAGAUAUCACGAAGAACCCCGAUUGCGAAGGCAGCUUACUAAACUGUGACUGACAUUGAUGCACGAAAGUGUGGGUAUCAAACAGGAUUAGAUACCCGAGUAGUC
rnacentral:rRNA from 1 species